CAGUAGCCGCGGGAAUACGUAGGGUGCAAGCGUUAAUCGGAAUUACUGAGCGUAAAGCGUGCGCAGGCGGUCCGCUAAGACAGAUGUGAAAUCCCCGGGCUUAACCUGGGAACUGCAUUUGUGACUGGCGGGCUAGAGUAUGGCAGAGGGGGGUAGAAUUCCACGUGUAGCAGUGAAAUGCGUAGAGAUGUGGAGGAAUACCGAUGGCGAAGGCAGCCCCCUGGGCCAAUACUGACGCUCAUGCACGAAAGCGUGGGGAGCAAACAGGAUUAGAUACCCCGGUAGUCCCUGUCUCUUAUAC
rnacentral:rRNA from 1 species